AUAACCUAAAGAUAGUGGAUUAAAAUGAUAUACACUUUUUUCACUCUCUUUGUUUCCAUGGUAACAAACCAAGCGUUUUUCUCAGGCCUACAAACCACAUGCUUUGAACACCCCCCUUCUAUUUUUGACAAUAUCUUCAUCUUCACAGGUCUUUGGGGUAUAGCGUGUUCAGGACUAACAGAUAACUCAUUAAUCUAUUUAUACAUGAAAUCAAAACUUACUGCUGUUCUACAACUUGUCCGUUGUAACAGAUAGAACAUGACCUAAUUUCUUCAUUUUCGUAAAUAUAUCCGGACACAUAUAUAUUGGUGCACUCAACUUCAGCUAUCUCUUUCAAGUCAAUAAAUGGUUUAAAACACUGUUAGUUGAUCUUUUUAUUUUCAUUUUACCUAUUCUAAUUUUUUUCUGGUUAAAACAAGCAUCUAACACAUUUUAAAAUCAUGUGAAACUAAUGUACUAACGUCAGAACAACACAACGUCAUUAUCCAACAUGGCGGAAAUCGCAGACUUGUUUCUUUGCAAACAUCCUUAAUGAAGUCGUAUAUCAUGUGGUUUAUACUCUGUCUAUAGAUAUGAACAAAUAUGUAGUGUGUUGAAAAAUUGCAACAGAGAUAUUAACAGUCAUCUUCGUCGCGUUUACGUGAAGCAAAACAGCGUGAGUUACGAAAGCAAACUGAUUCUUGUCAGGUGUGGAUUCUUUUGUCUCCGAUCACCGAUGACCGCAAUUGGACAUUUUCAAGUAUCUUUGGGAGAACGAAUGGGUUACACCAUGUGACCAGCAUAGGGAUAUGGACUUGGUUUGUGCUGUAAACCAUCCACACAGGGAAAAAAGCCUAUAACGAAAUAUGGUGCCACUUGGUUCAGGCAUGUUUGAUAAGUGUUAUUUGACACACAGUGAUCUUAUGGUCAGCAAAAGAGUCCAAAGCCUUGCAGAAACUGAAACUAGUGUGGAAAUGACGGAUGUUGUAGAAAGGCAUGUAUGUAAAUGAAAGCCACAAUAUAACAAAUGCUGAGGAGAUGCAUGAGGCCCUAGUUUCUGCAGAUGGAGUGGAGGGGUGCUCUUUUGCUGCCAUUUACUACAUCCAGCUAGACAGACAUCUUCCAAACCUGCGUGGACUGGAGUGUCCGAUUACAACAAUUUGGCUUUCUUGAUUCCUACAACAUGAGGAAAGGUGUCUCUCUUCCUUGAGCAGUUUUAAUAUGAGUGAUACUGAUGUUAAAGUUAAUUUGGGUUUUUCUGAGGCAAAUGUGCCAACUGGGACUAUACUGAGCAAGAUCACAAACAAGGAAAUUUUUUCUUGUCCAGAGAAGUCUUCUCUGAAAUCUUUUGCUACCAAGACUGAAGAGUAAUUGUAAGGUCCUUUUUUUUUAGACCACAGUUAUGAAAUGUGCCAAAAAA